GGCGAACGCUGGCGGCAGGCCUAACACAUGCAAGUCGAACGAACCUUUCGGGGUUAGUGGCGGACGGGUGAGUAACACGUGGGAACGUGCCUUUAGGUUCGGAAUAACUCAGGGAAACUUGUGCUAAUACCGAAUGUGCCCUUCGGGGGAAAGAUUUAUCGCCUUUAGAGCGGCCCGCGUCUGAUUAGCUAGUUGGUUGAGGUAAUGGCUCACCAAGGCGACGAUCAGUAGCUGGUCUGAGAGGAUGAUCAGCCACAUUGGGACUGAGACACGGCCCAAACUCCUACGGGAAGCAGCAGUGGGGAAUCUUGCGCAAUGGGCGAAAGCCUGACGCAGCCAUGCCGCGUGAAUGAUGAAGGUCUUAGGAUUGUAAAAUUCUUUCACCGGGGACGAUAAUGACGGUACCCGGAGAAGAAGCCCCGGCUAACUUCGUG
rnacentral:rRNA from 1 species